UUGUCCAGGUGUUCACCAGUUUAUGAGAUUCACGGGAAUCGGAAACUAAAUUCAUCUUCAAUUCGGCUAUGGGUGCUGGCAUUUUAAACCAUACCAACCAGAUGGAAGGAGAGGACCUGAUUUCAUGGGUGGAUUCCUGUUUUUUCUCUCUCCCACUUGGCGAGAAGAAAACCUGAUAUCCCAGCUGUUGGAAACAGGCUGUGGCUAACGGUGUGGAGAGUUGGGAAUAAUCUGGGACCCUGGUGACAAUGCUGGGACUGGAAACCAUCAACUUUUAUUCUUAGAAGAUCACACAGAACUCCAAUCAACUCUCCCGUACUUAAAGAAGAGGCUUUGUUCCUUCAAAACAUUGUCAAAUGAAGUCAAGAACUUUUCCAACAGUGACAUCCUCAGGCUAAAAUCCUUUGACUGCUCUCCAGAGCUUCCAACCCACUUGGAUUUUGUUUAAGAAGCAUCUCAAACUUAACUUGUCCAAAACAAAACAUUUGCUUAACACUCUCCCCAAACUUGUUUCUCUCCCGGUCGUCCCCCAACUCAGGAAAUAGCAGCAACCCAGUUUUCAAGCAAAGGCCUAAAGAGUCAUCCUUGAUUCCUCCUUUUUUCUCUUCACCCUUGUAAUUACUUCUCCAUGGAGUCCAUCAGGUGAACCUCUAAAUAUAAUCAAAGUGGUCCUGGGGGCGUGGGGGUCAGGAGGAGUAGAAUGUGGAACAGCAUAGAUUCAAACCCGGGAGCUGUUACUUGGGCUGGAGGCCACUGUCUGCCUGCCUGGACCCCAGGCCCACCAGCCUUUACAACCCAAGGCCAACCCUUCCUUCUCCACCUCCCUUGCCCUCAAAUCUACAGCUUUUUCUUCAUAGAGAUAGUUGUUGAGCAAAAGAGU